rnacentral:lncRNA from 1 species
GACUUUUUCUUUUCCCGCAAUUUUGUCUGAACCCAUAAUUUGUUCCAGACCUACAAGAAGCUUCUUCCUGGCUGACUCACUGCUGCUUGAGUGUAACGGAAACAUACUAGGAUAUUUUUAGAUUACGCUUCAGGCUUAAUUUCCUAGUAGUGAUGUAAUACACAUACAACAAACUUACAGCUGUUACACUAUGGUGUUGGUAUCUGUGUCUUGAUUUUACAGUCAGUGUUACACAGGGUCUGAGUGAAAAAGUGUUCAGCUGCUGUGACUUGAAGGCCUACAAUCCGGUCAACGUUAUAUGCUGCCAGUCAACCAUAAUAGCGACACCUGGACCAAAGGCUGAAUGUUGUGGUAAAGGACCACAUGAUGAGUAAAAGAAGCUGUGUUGUGGUCCGAUGAAUGAUAAGAAGAUCCUGAAGAGGAACUCCACAGAUCAUGUGUGCUGUCAUCAUGGCCAGCAGCUAGGCUGACUGCUGCUGUUGGAAGAAUGAUGGUGCUGAGAUACAGCUGAAGAAUUCAUCUUGCUGUGUAGAAGAAUCAGCUGUACUUGAAGGUCAGAAGUGGCCAAAUCCAGUUUCAUACACAUCUUAGAAAUUUAUUUAAAAGUAAACUCUGGGUAUACACUGCUUUGAAUGAGAAGCCACCAUUAAUAAAAGAAUGACUGCUGUGGCACCGGGCAUCACCGGCCCCACUCCUGCUAAACAGGUGACAAUAGAUUUAAAAGCGACAGGACUUAGUACUGUUGAAUCUUUGAUUUGAUUUAUUUUUUGCUUUGUUUUACUUGCAUCAAUUUGAAAGAGUCCAUGUAAACGCAAAACAUUAUUUUAUUUUACAUGCUGGAAUAUGCAGAAAAUAGGUUUAAAUGUUAAACAAUUUCUUCAAGUCAAAGACAGUUGCAUAUAAAUUAAUUUUUGCUUAAUGCAAUGUGCAUAAAAUUAAAAGAUUGAAACUAAUAAAACAAAUUUUAAAGGAGACUUUCCAUUUGAUUCAAUUUUAUAUGAUGGAUUAUGCAUAAAAAUAGAAUUUGGCUGAAAGGUCUAUUGCUUUACUACGUAUUCGGGUUGUGUAUCAUGUUUUAAAAAUGUAACUAAGUAACUAAUUACUUUUGACAAUAAGCAAUCAGUAAAGUAACAGGAUUACUUUUUUGGAGAAGUAAUCAGUAAUUAGUAACUAAUUACUUUUUUCAAUUAACUUGACCAACACUGCUGCACAGAGUGUGAAAAUCUUCUGUUGAAAAGAACAUGACACCAAAAAUGAAACAGUAGGAAGAGGUUUUAUUGCUGCUUGUGCUGUGUGACUCAUUUUGGCUGUAAGUUCCAAGUUAACGAAUUUAACUAACUAAUUUAUUAAGCAUAUCUGCAGGCUUUUAUCGAAUAAUAUAACAAAAAUGGAGAACUGUCUCAUUCAUU